rnacentral:rRNA from 1 species
AAACCAACAGGGAUUGCCUCAGUAACGGCGAGUGAAGCGGCAAGAGCUCAAAUUUGAAAUCCGGCCCCUCUGGGGGCCUGAGUUGUAAUUUGCAGAGGAUGCUUCGGGCGCGACCGCGGUCCAAGUCCCCUGGAACGGGGCGUCGUAGAGGGUGAGAAUCCCGUCUCCGGCCGGCCGGUCUCGCCCGUGUGAAGCUCCUUCGACGAGUCGAGUUGUUUGGGAAUGCAGCUCUAAAUGGGUGGUAAAUUUCAUCUAAAGCUAAAUACUGGUCGGAGACCGAUAGCGCACAAGUAGAGUGAUCGAAAGAUGAAAAGCACUUUGAAAAGAGAGUUAAACAGCAUGUGAAAUUGUUGAAAGGGAAGCGCUUGCGAUCAGAGUCGGCCGCGGGGGUUCAGCGGGCAUUCGUUGCCCGUGCAAUCCCCCGCGGCCGGGCCAGCGUCGGUUUCGACGGCCGGUCAAAGGCCCCCGGAAUGUGUCGCCUCUCGGGGCGUCUUAUAGCCGGGGGUGCAAUGCGGCCAGUCGGGACCGAGGAACGCGCUCCGGCACGGACGCUGGCUUAAUGGUCGUCAGCGAC